rnacentral:rRNA from 1 species
AAAGUCGUAACAAGGUUUCCGUAGGUGAACCUGCGGAAGGAUCAUUAUCGUACAAAAUGUGAGGGGCAUGCGUGGGCUGUCGCUGACUCAAAGUCGUGCACGCCCGAGUGUGUCCUCUCACAUAAAUAAUCCAUCUCACCCUUUGUGCAUCACCGCGUGGGCACCCUUUGGGAUCAUCUCGGAGGGGGCUCGCGUUUUCACACAAACCCCCCUUUUAAAAGUGUAGAAUGACCUCAUUUAUGCGCUAACCCGCAAUCAAUACAACUUUCAACAACGGAUCUCUUGGCUCUCGCAUCGAUGAAGAACGCAGCGAAAUGCGAUACGUAAUGUGAAUUGCAGAAUUCAGUGAGUCAUCGAAUCUUUGAACGCACCUUGCGCCCCUUGGUAUUCCGAGGGGCACACCCGCUUGAGUGUCGUGAAAACCUCAACCUCCUUGGUCUCUUCUGGAGACCAAAGCAGGCUUGGACUUUGGAGGCCUUUGCUGGCACCUCUCUUUUGAAGGCCAGCUCCUCUUAAACAAAUUAGCAGGGUCCUCUUUGCCGAUCCUCGACGUGUGAUAAGAUGUUUCCAUGUCUUGGUUUCUGGCUCUGUCACUUUUGGGACCCGCUUCUAACCGUCUUGAGACCUUGCGUCGAGACAACGUUCGAGCAUGUCUCCCUUUUCUCGGGAAGCUCCCUCGACCCCACGAACCCUUGACCUCAAAUCGGGUGAGACUACCCGCUGAACUUA